UACAGAGGUCUCAAGCGUUGUUCGGAUUCAUUGGGCGUAAAGGGUGCGUAGGCGGCGCGGUAAGUCGGGUGUGAAAUCUCGGAGCUUAACUCCGAAACUGCAUUCGAUACUGCCGUGCUUGAGGACUGGAGAGGAGACUGGAAUUUACGGUGUAGCGGUGAAAUGCGUAGAUAUCGAGAGGAACACCAGUGGCGAAGGCGAGUCCCUGGACAACGACUGACACUGAGGCACGAAAGCUAGGGGAGCAAACAGG
rnacentral:rRNA from 1 species